rnacentral:rRNA from 1 species
GACGAACGCUGGCGGCGUGCCUAAUACAUGCAAGUUGAGCGAUGAAGAUUGGUGCUUGCACCAAUUUGAAGAGCAGCGAACGGGUGAGUAACGCGUGGGGAAUCUGCCUUUGAGCGGGGGACAACAUUUGGAAACGAAUGCUAAUACCGCAUAACAACUUUAAACAUAAGUUUUAAGUUUGAAAGAUGCAAUUGCAUCACUCAAAGAUGAUCCCGCGUUGUAUUAGCUAGUUGGUGAGGUAAAGGCUCACCAAGGCGAUGAUACAUAGCCGACCUGAGAGGGUGCUCGGCCACAUUGGGACUGAGACCCGGCCCAAACUCCUACGGGAGGCAGCAGUAGGGAAUCUUCGGCAAUGGACGAAAGUCUGACCGAGCAACGCCGCGUGAGUGAAGAAGGUUUUCGGAUCGUAAAACUCUGUUGGUAGAGAAGAACGUUGGUGAGAGUGGAAAGCUCAUCAAGUGACGGUAACUACCCAGAAAGGGACGGCUAACUACGUG